rnacentral:lncRNA from 1 species
ACUGUGAAAAAAUCCUUCUCUCACCCUACAGAUACCUGUACGGAGAACUUGGGAGGCAUUUUUAUAAGCUCAUUGUCAAGUGAAUGUUAAAGUCCCCAUUCACUGAGAAGCAAAGGGUGAAGAAAUGAGACCCUACAUGGCUUUUUAGUGCAUUGAUGGAGCAGAGACACGUCUAUGAACAACUGCCUAUGCAAACUGAUUACUCGGCAGUAUAAUUUAUCAGUUUGUAUGAGUAAGUGAGUGCUUCUCACUAUGGAUUUAGCUUGCACUUCAAUUUAGAACUAGAAGGAAUAAGUGGAAAUCAGGAGAAACAUUAAAGACAUUCCAGUGUCACUGAGCAUGCCGAAACCUGAAAACAUGUUCCAUUAUCUUGCUUUGGAUUUAUGGAAAUUCUGAACAGUGAUGUGAGAGUGACUACAGUUUGAAGUAUCUGUUAAAUACAGCAACAUGACAUCACAAGGAUUGUUUUGGAGUCUUCUGGAUAUGAGAACAUUAUAAAAGGUGAAAAAGUAGAACUGAAAUAUGAAGGGAGAAAAAGAGACAACCAUGGUUUCAAGUCUCACUUAGAGAAGAAGGAUUGUUUAUUUAUUUGACGGAAAUUGGGUCAAUUGAAGACUCUGACACAGAGAAUAACGGUACCAGA